CUUAUAAAAAUGAUGUAGCUUCAGACAAGGAGGAUAAUGAUGACCAACAUAGUGUAAGUCCCGAAAUGUUUUAUCAAUCACCAGUAUUUAAAAAACUUCCUUCAUCAACUCAAUGUAACAUUCUCAGUGGUGGAGGAACUGAACAUGAAUCACAAAUUAUUCAAAACCACCAUAAGACAGAAGAGACUUCAACAAAACACA